rnacentral:lncRNA from 1 species
UCUCGGCGCCUCGGCGGUGCCCGCGCAGCGAUCGAGGGGAAAUUCCUGAGAGUGUGGGCGAAGGGGAAGCCUCGAAGUGCAAAGCCGCCCCUGCUUGCACGCGAUGUGUUCGGUGAAAUGCCUCUGGGACGCACAGGGGAGAGACUAGAGAGGGACCCUCACCCUGAGCUCAUUGAGGUGGCCAAAUAG